AAAACGACUCUCGGCAACGGAUAUCUAGGCUCUCGCAUCGAUGAAGAACGUAGCGAAAUGCGAUACUUGGUGUGAAUUGCAGAAUCCCGCGAAUCAUCGAGUUUUUGAACGCAAGUUGCGCCCGAAGCCAUUCGRCCGAGGGCACGUCUGCCUGGGUGUCACGC
rnacentral:rRNA from 1 species